UUUACUGCUUAAAAGCGAAAAGUCUCUGUCCUGCAUUGCAAGCUGUCGUUGGCGGGGGUGUGGUGGGGGGAGCUGCAUUUCGGACAAUAAAACGGACCAUGCCAAUCGCGGUGGAUUUGAGUGAUUUUAACGGCUCUACAGUCAGCAGCAAUUUGGUCCCAAGCGCGUCUCUUCCACAUCUUCCUCAGCGCACUGGCUAGACCUAAUACAAAGUCCUUCUCCUAUGCGCUCAGCUCACAGAGCUUAUUCACGUCUGAUGGAACGUCUCUCUCAGAGAGUAAACACGUCAGCAGGGACAGUGCCACAUCCGUUUCCAUAGUGGCCUUACCUGUUUCACACUUGGAGUGCCCAGCCACAGCUCUGAACUUCCGGCUAUCGCCCCCUUCUUUCAGCGAUGUCCUCUGGUCUGGUGGCUCCUGUGAUGAUAAUUUUUUCGAUGCGAAAAACAUCCGCAGGGUGGUUGGUCCCGUUUGCCAACCCUCCAGCCUCUUGAGCGUGGUCCUUCCCGCUGCCGGCCUGCUGCAGUCUAGCCCACAUGCCUGAUUCACUGUUCAGGCACUAUAUAUUGGCAUAUGCCAGUGAAGCACCUGGGUAAAAUGACUCUUUGUUCACCAGUAUGGUUAGAUGGUCAUAGGCCGCUUUAUUUCCGUGAUGCAGAGACUUACAUGCAUUCUUACAAGAGGCAUGCUCCACCAAGAUUGGUUACAUAUAGAGGGUACAGGAUUACAUGUAAGGCAUGGAUAGGUCAGUAUACCAUAACAAUCUGAGGGUCAGCGUCUGGGGCUGGCUAAACUCUGCCCACCUGCAGCUGGCACUCCACUCCCUGCAGCUGCAUGUGGGGAGAAGCCACCCAGCGCCUGGUAUCUUAACUCCCAAGAUGGAUUCAAGGAUGCUCCCAGCAUGGGUUGCUCAUGUUUAUGAUUUUGUGUCCUCUGCUAGCAAGAAUUUCUCCAACAGGGGCGGAGGCCCUCUCCCCUGUAGCGCCGAACCCCUGCGAAUACAUGAGAAUACACAGGAAGAUUUUCUGGGGAGCUGCAGCCAGACACUGAGCAGAAAACUGAGAGUAUAAAAGGCAGGAGGAAUGCCUGCCAAAGUGUGGCACUCACAGCAGACCACCAGUGACACCUCCACUGGACCACCAGCGGCACUGCCACCAGAUCACCAGUGCUACCUCUACCAAACCACCAGAGCUGCACACCACCCGAAGAACCUCUGACAGACUCCACAGAAGAUCAUCCCUGGGCCACGCACCUGUGUCUCUCUCUCUUCCCUCCAUCUGUGACUGAGGGUAAUAUGAUCACAGCUCUUUUCCUUCCCUGCUCCUUCUUCUCUUCUCUGUCAUUCUUUUUAUCUCUCUCUCUCCCCCUUCUCCCCUCUCUCCCUCUGUUUUGCCCAACCUUAUCCUUUAAUAAAUAGUUUUGUGGCGAUA